UACGAAGGGGGCUAGCGUUGCUCGGAAUUACUGGGCGUAAAGGGCGCGUAGGCGGAUAUCUAAGUUGGGGGUGAAAUCCCGGGGCUCAACCUCGGAAUUGCCUUCAAAACUGGAUAUCUUGAGUAUGGAAGAGGUAAGUGGAAUUGCGAGUGUAGAGGUGAAAUUCGUAGAUAUUCGCAGGAACACCAGUGGCGAAGGCGGCUUACUGGUCCAUAACUGACGCUGAGGUGCGAAAGCGUGGGGAGCAAACAGG
rnacentral:rRNA from 1 species